GAUGAACGCUGGCGGCGUGCCUAAUACAUGCAAGUCGAGCGAACGGACGAGAAGCUUGCUUCUCUGAUGUUAGCGGCGGACGGGUGAGUAACACGUGGAUAACCUACCUAUAAGACUGGGAUAACUUCGGGAAACCGGAGCUAAUACCGGAUAAUAUUUUGAACCGCAUGGUUCAAAAGUGAAAGACGGUCUUGCUGUCACUUAUAGAUGUAUCCGCGCUGCAUUAGCUAGUUGGUAAGGUAACGGCUUACCAAGGCAACGAUGCAUAGCCGACCUGAGAGGGUGAUCGGCCACACUGGAACUGAGACACGGCCCAGACUCCUACGGGAGGCAGCAGUAGGGAAUCUUCCGCAAUGGGCGAAAGCCUGACGGAGCAACGCCGCGUGAGUGAUGAAGGUCUUCGGAUCGUAAAACUCUGUUAUUAGGGAAGAACAUAUGUGUAAGUAACUGUGCACAUCUUGACGGUACCUAAUCAGAAAGCCACGGCUAACUACGUG
rnacentral:rRNA from 1 species